AGCGGCGGACGGGUGAGUAAUGCCUGGGAAUAUGCCCUGAUGUGGGGGAUAACUAUUGGAAACGAUAGCUAAUACCGCAUAAUCUCUUCGGAGCAAAGAGGGGGACCUUCGGGCCUCUCGCGUCAGGAUUAGCCCAGGUGGGAUUAGCUUGUUGGUGAGGUAAUGGCUCACCAAGGCAACGAUCCCUAGCUGGUCUGAGAGGAUGAUCAGCCACACUGGAACUGAGACACGGUCCAGACUCCUACGGGAGGCAGCAGUGGGGAAUAUUGCACAAUGGGGGAAACCCUGAUGCAGCCAUGCCGCGUGUGUGAAGAAGGCCUUCGGGUUGUAAAGCACUUUCAGUAGGGAGGAAGGUAGUGUAGUUAACACCUGCAUUAUUUGACGUUACCUACAGAAGAAGCACCGGCUAACUCCGUGCCAGCAGCCGCGGUAAUACGGAGGGUGCGAGCGUUAAUCGGAAUUACUGGGCGUAAAGCGCAUGCAGGCGGCCUGUUAAGUCAGAUGUGAAAGCCCGGGGCUUAACCUCGGAAUUGCAUUUGAAACUGGCAGG
rnacentral:rRNA from 1 species